AUUGAACGCUGGCGGAAUGCUUUACACAUGCGAGUCGAACGGCAGCACGGGGGCAACCCUGGUGGCGAGUGGCGAACGGGUGAGUAAUACAUCGGAACGUGCCCAGUCGUGGGGGAUAACGUAGCGAAAGUUACGCUAAUACCGCAUACGAUCUACGGAUGAAAGCGGGGGACCGUAAGGCCUCGCGCGAUUGGAGCGGCCGAUGUCAGAUUAGGUAGUUGGUGAGGUAAAGGCUCACCAAGCCGACGAUCUGUAGCUGGUCUGAGAGGACGACAGCCACACUGGGACUGAGACACGGCCCAGACUCCUACGGGAGGCAGCAGUGGGGAAUUUUGGACAAUGGGCGCAAGCCUGAUCCAGCCAUUCCGCGUGCAGGACGAAGGCCUUCGGGUUGUAAACUGCUUUUGUACGGAACGAAAAGGCUCUGGUUAAUACCUGGGGCUCAUGACGGUACCGUAAGAAUAAGCACCGGCUAACUACGUGCCAGCCGCCGCAGUAA
rnacentral:rRNA from 1 species